rnacentral:misc_RNA from 1 species
CUCAGGGAUCAGGUCACCGCUUUGACGCGGACUUGUUUUUGAGUCCCGGGGAGUCUCCUCCCCAGGCUCCAAAGUGACGGUCUUGCGGCCCGUGUCGGACCGGGAACAUGAUAACGUAUCACACGCUGUUCCGGGGUUCCGAACCGAGGCCAGCCUCGAACUUCCAAGA